GAUGAACGCUGGCGGCGUGCCUAAUACAUGCGAGUCGAGCGAACGGACGAGAAGCUUGCUUCUCUGAUGUUAGCGGCGGACGGGUGAGUAACACGUCGAUAACCUACCUAUAAGACUGGGAUAACUUCGGGAAACCGGAGCUAAUACCGGAUAAUAUUUUGAACCGCAUGGUUCAAAAGUGAAAGACGGUCUUGCUGUCACUUAUAGAUGGAUCCGCGCUGCAUUAGCUAGUUGGUAAGGUAACGGCUUACCAAGGCAACGAUGCAUAGCCGACCUGAGAGGGUGAUCGGCCACACUGGAACUGAGACACGGUCCAGACUCCUACGGGAGGCAGCAGUAGGGAAUCUUCCGCAAUGGGCGAAAGCCUGACGGAGCAACGCCGCGUGAGUGAUGAAGGUCUUCGGAUCGUAAAACUCUGUUAUUAGGGAAGAACAUAUGUGUAAGUAACUGUGCACAUCUUGACGGUACCUAAUCAGAAAGCCACGGCUAACUACGUG
rnacentral:rRNA from 1 species